rnacentral:sRNA from 1 species
GACCUAAACUUAGGCGCCAAAAUUCCUAGGCAUGGUCUAAACCGCGACAAACAUAAAAAACCCAUUAUCAGGGCGUUUGUCGCGUUAUAGGGGGAAACUUCUAUAGAGGUCUUCGGACCUU